rnacentral:rRNA from 1 species
AUGGAGUCCCGGUGGGUUAUCGCGUUCCUCUUCCUGUCCCUGCAGCCGCUGCUCGGCGCGUCCUACCUGCGGGCGAGGAAGAACUACAUCGUGCACCUCGACCCGAGGGGCGGCCCCGUCGACUCCGUCGAGGAGUGGCACCGCUCCUUCCUCCCGAGGACGGCCGCGCUCGAAUCUGAGGUGGAGGCGGACGGCGGCGCCAAGGACCAUGGCCCGCGCAUCAUAUACUCCUACAGCGACGUGUUCACCGGCUUCGCCGCGCGGCUCACGGACGAGGAGGCCGAGGCGCUGAGGUCCACGGAGGGGUGCCUCAGGCUGUACCCGGAGGUGUUCUUGCCGCUCGCCACCACCCGCUCGCCCGGCUUCCUCGGCCUCCACCUCGGGAACGAGGGGUUCUGGAGUCGCUCCGGGUUCGGCCGCGGGGUGGUGAUUGGCAUCUUGGACACGGGGAUCCUGCCCAGCCACCCUUCCUUCGGCGACGACGGCCUCGAGCCGCCGCCCAAGACCUGGAAGGGCACGUGCGAGUUCAAGGCCGUCGCCGGCGGCGGAUGCAACAACAAGAUCAUCGGGGCGCGCGCGUUCGGCAGCGCCGCCGUCAACUCGUCGGCGCCGCCGGUGGACGACGCGGGCCACGGCACGCACACGGCCAGCACGGCCGCGGGCAACUUCGUGGAGAACGCCAACGUCCGGGGCAACGCGGACGGCACGGCCUCGGGGAUGGCGCCGCACGCGCACCUGGCGAUAUACAAGGUCUGUACUCGCAGCCGCUGCUCUAUCAUGGACAUCAUCGCUGGGCUGGACGCCGCCGUCAAGGACGGCGUCGACGUGCUGUCCUUCUCCAUCGGCGCGCAAUCCGGCACGCAGUUCAACUACGAUCCCAUCGCCAUCGCGGCGUUCCAGGCCAUGGAGCGCGGCAUCUUCGUCAGCUGCGCGGCGGGCAACGCCGGUCCGGACCCGGGCUCCGUCGGCAACGGGGCGCCUUGGAUGCUCACCGUCGCGGCCGGCACCAUGGACCGCGCGAUACGCACCACCGUGAGGCUCGGCAACGGCGAGGAGUUCGACGGCGAGUCCCUGUUCCAGCCGGGCAACAACUCCGCCGCGAAGCCGCUUCCGCUCGUGUACCCCGGCGCCGACGGCUCCGACACUAGCCGUGAUUGCAGCGUGCUGCGCGGAGCCGAGGUGAGCGACAAGGUGGUGCUCUGCGAGAGCAGAGGCCUAAACGGCCGCAUCGAAGCUGGCCAGACCGUGUCCGCGUACGGCGGCUUGGGCAUGAUCGUCAUGAACAGAGCAGCCGAAGGGUACACCACCUUCGCCGACCCGCAUGUCCUCCCUGCGACGCACCUGAGCUACGAUGCCGGGACCAAGAUCGCGGCCUACAUUAACUCCACGGCCAACCCGACGGCGAGCAUCGCGUUCAAGGGCACAGUCAUGGGCGCGCUGCCGGCGCCGGCCGUUACGUUCUUCUCGUCCCGAGGUCCGAGCAAGGCCAGCCCGGGCAUCCUGAAGCCGGACAUCACGGGGCCCGGCAUGAACAUACUCGCGGCGUGGGCGCCGAGCGAGUCGCACACGGAGUUCUCCGACGGGGGCGUCGGCCUGUCUUUCUUCGUGGAGUCUGGCACGUCCAUGUCGACGCCGCACCUGAGCGGCAUCGCCGCACUCAUCAAGAGCCUGCACCCGGACUGGUCACCGGCGGCGAUCAAAUCGGCGAUCAUGACGACGUCGGACGCAGUGGACCGCACCGGCGUGCCCCUCAAGGACGAGCAGUACCGCCACGCCACCUUCUACGCCAUGGGCGCGGGCUACGUCAACCCCGCGCUCGCCUUCGACCCCGGCCUAGUCUACGACCUCCACGCCGACGACUACCUCCCCUACCUCUGCGGCCUCGGCCUCGGCGACGAGGGCGUUACCGAGAUCGCUCACCGCCCGGUCACCUGCGCCAACCUCAAGGCCACCACCGAGGCAGAGCUGAACUACCCGUCCCUCGUCGUCAACCUGCUGGCCCAGCCGAUCACGGUCAACCGCACGGUGACCAACGUCGGGAAGCCGAACUCCGUGUACACCGCCGUGGUGGACAUGCCCAAAGACGUGUCGGUGACGGUGCAGCCGCCGAUGCUGCGGUUCACGGAGGCCAAGGAGAAGCAGAGCUUCACGGUGACGGUGCGGUGGGCGGGGCAGCCGAGCGUCGCCGGCGCCGAGGGCAACCUGAAGUGGGUCUCCGAUGACCACAUCGUGCGGAGCCCCAUUGUGGUUCCGCCCAAGGCCGCGUAG